rnacentral:rRNA from 1 species
GACGAACGCUGGCGGCGUGCUUAACACAUGCAAGUCGAACGGAAAGGCCCUGCUUUUGUUGGGUGCUCGAGUGGCGAACGGGUGAGUAACACGUGAGUAACCUGCCCUUGACUUUGGGAUAACUUCAGGAAACUGGGGCUAAUACCGGAUAGGAGCUCCUGCUGCAUGGUGGGGGUUGGAAAGUUUCGGCGGUUGGGGAUGGACUCGCGGCUUAUCAGCUUGUUGGUGGGGUAGUGGCUUACCAAGGCUUUGACGGGUAGCCGGCCUGAGAGGGGGACCGGCCACAUGGGGACUGAGAUACGGCCCAGACUCCUACGGGAGGCAGCAGUGGGGAAUAUUGCACAAUGGGCGGAAGCCUGAUGCAGCAACGCCGCGUGCGGGAUGACGGCCUUCGGGGUGUAAACCGCUUUCGCCUGUGACGAAGCGUGAGUGACGGUAAUGGGUAAAGAAGCACCGGCUAACUACGUG